CCACCACACACACACUGUUUUAUAGAUGAGACCAUGUUUCCUCUUUGUUCAUAUACCUAGCACUCCAGGUUCAAGUCUCAGUCCCGAAGUUGACAAGUGAUGCAGAUUUGAGCCGAUGACCCAAUGUCAGAUUUUGUAGCAUCAGCCCAGCACGGACUUCACAGAGCUGUGCAGAGACUUAAACCAGGGGGCCUCCUCUGAACCUGACACUCAUCAAUUUGGCCAGGCUGGCUGACCAAUGAACUCCAGGAAUCUGCCUGCCUCCACUCUCCCAGUGCUGGGGUUACAGUGUGGGACAAUCAGACUACCUUUUACUUCUCCUGAGAAGACACUAGCCACCGAACCCCUAAGACAAUAAGCUAAUGCACGCUACAAACCACGCUCUGCGCGGCUUUGCUUUAGGAAGUCCACUGACUGUGCGCGUGCUUUGGGAUCUACACAGCUGACUGGAACUGUUGCCGCCCUUCCGUCCAGUGGAAA